rnacentral:rRNA from 1 species
ACGAACUGUUGGCGGCGCUGGAUUAGGCAUGCAGUCGGAACGAAUCCCCGGGAGCUUGCUCUCGGGGGGAAGUGGCGAAAGGGGCAGUAAGGCGUGGGUAACCUACCCCGGGGACGGGCAUAGCCUGUCCUAACGGACGGGUAAUUCCCGGCGAUCUGGUGAGGGGGCAUCCCUUGACCAGGAGAAGAGUUCGCCUCGGGAGGGGCUCACGUAGUAUAGGCUGGUGGUGGGGUAGGCCUACAAGGCGAAGAGUGCUUAGCGGGUUGUGAGAGCACGACCCGCGCCUAAUGCGCACUGCGACACUGGCCAGACUCCUACGGAGGCUGCAGUCGAGGAUCUUCGGCAAUGGGCGCAAGCCUGACCGAGCGACGCCGCGUGCGCGAAUGAAGGCCUUGCGGGGUUGGUAAAGCGCUGUCGAGGGGGAGGAAAGCCCGCAAGGGUCUGACCUAUCCCUGGAGGAAGCACGGGCUAGUUCGUGCCAGCAGCCGCGGUAAGACGAACCGUGCAACGUUGUUCGGAAUCACUGGGCUUAAAGGGCGCGUAGGCGGGCUGCCAAGUCCGGGUGAAAGCUUUCGGCUCAACCGGAAUAAGUGCCUUGGAUACUGGCGGCCUGGAGGGAGGUAGGGGCAGCUGGAACCUUCCGGUGGAGCGGUGAAAUGCGUAGAUAUCGGAAGGAACGCCGGUGGCGAAAGCGAGCUGCUGGACCUCUACUGACGCUGAGGCGCGAAAGCUAGGGGAGCAAACGGGAUUAGAUACCCCGGUAGUCCUGGCCCUAAACGAUGGUACUACUAGGUUGUGGACUGGACAUGGGUUCACAGCCGCGAGCAAAAGUGUUAAGUACCCCGCCCUGGGGAGUAUGGUCGCAAGGCUGAAACUCAAAGGAAUUGACCGGGGGCUCACACAAGCGGUGGAGCACAUGUGGCUUAAAUUCGAGGCUACGCGAAGAACCUUAUCCUGGGCUUGACAUGUGCGAAAGCGUCAGGAAGUAGCUGCUGGAAAAAACGGCCAGCCAACGGUAUCCAGUCCGGAACCUGACACAGGUGCUGCAUGGCUGUCGUCAGCUCGUUGUCGUGAGAUGUUGGGUUAAGUCCCGUACCGAGCGAAACCCUUGUCUCCAGUUGCCAGCGGGUCAUAUGCCGGGGACUCUGGAGAAGACUUGCCGGUGUUAAACCGGAGGAAGGCGGGGGAUGACGUCAAGUCCUCAUGGCCUUUAUGCCCAGGGGCUUGCACACGUGCUACAAUGCCGUGAACAAAGGGAAGCCAACCCGCGAGGGGGAGCCAAUCCCAAAAAACACGGCCCAGUUCAGAUCGAGGCUGCAAACUCGCCUUCGUGAUAGUCGGAAAUCGCUAGUAAUCGCAGGUCAGCAACACUGCGGUGAAUGUGUUCCUGAGCCUUGUACACACCGCCCGUCAAGCCACGAAAGGGAGGGACAUCCGAAGCCGGCUUCACCGCCGUCGAAGAUGGACUUCCUGAUUGGGACUAAGUCGUAACAAGG